AUGUACAUUCAUACAACAUAGAAUUAAUGCAUCAGAUCCCAUUAGAACUCCAUAGUUAAGUGCACUCAGGAUAGAGUAGUACUGUGAUGAGUGACCGCUUGAGAAGUCCUAGUGUUUUACAUG
rfam:Picea glauca, whole genome shotgun sequence.